rnacentral:rRNA from 1 species
AUUGAACGCUAGCGGGAUGCCUUACACAUGCAAGUCGAACGAGUGGCGAACGGGUGAGUAAUGUAUCGGAACGUGCCCAGUAGCGGGGGAUAACUACGAGAAACGUAGCUAAUACCGCAUACUAUUGGAGCGGCCGAUAUCGGAUUAGCUAGAUGGUGGGGUAACGGCUCACCAAGGCGACGGACCGUAGCUGGUUUGAGAGGACGACCAGCCACGCUGGGAGUGCGAGACGGCCCAGACUCCUACGUGAGGCAGCAUUGGGGAAUUUUGGGCAAUGGGGGAAACCCUGAUCCAGCCAUCCCGCGUGUGCGAUGAAGGCCUGCGGGUUGUAAAGCACUUUUGGCAGGAAAGCGGUACCUGCAGAAUAAGCACCGGCUAACUACGUGCCAGCAGCCGCGGUAAUAC